rnacentral:rRNA from 1 species
UACGUAGGGUGCGAGCGUUGCCCGGAUUUAUUGGGCGUAAAGGGCGCGCAGGCGGCCACGCACGUCCGUUGUGAAAUCGCCCGGCUCAACUGGGCGGGGUCAGCGGAUACGGCGUGGCUGGAGCAAGCUAGGGGGCAAUGGAAUUCCCGGUGUAGUGGUGGAAUGCGUAGAUAUCGGGAGGAACACCAGUGGCGAAGGCGACUACCUGCCUGUUCUUGACGCUGAGGCGCGAAAGCUAGGGGAGCAAACGGGG